rnacentral:rRNA from 1 species
GAUGAACGCUGGCGGCGUGCCUAAUACAUGCAAGUCGAGCGAACAGACGAGGAGCUUGCUCCUCUGACGUUAGCGGCGGACGGGUGAGUAACACGUGGAUAACCUACCUAUAAGACUGGGAUAACUUCGGGAAACCGGAGCUAAUACCGGAUAAUAUAUUGAACCGCAUGGUUCAAUAGUGAAAGACGGUUUUGCUGUCACUUAUAGAUGGAUCCGCGCCGCAUUAGCUAGUUGGUAAGGUAACGGCUACCAAGGCAACGAUGCGUAGCCGACCUGAGAGGGUGAUCGGCCACACUGGAACUGAGACACGGUCCAGACUCCUACGGGAGGCAGCAGUAGGGAAUCUUCCGCAAAGGGCGAAAGCCUGACGGAGCAACGCCGCGUGAGUGAUGAAGGUCUUCGGAUCGUAAAACUCUGUUAUUAGGGAAGAACAAAUGUGUAAGUAACUAUGCACGUCUUGACGGUACCUAAUCAGAAAGCCACGGCUAACUACGUG